UUUGACCUCAAAUCAGGUAGGACUACCCGCUGAACUUAAGCAUAUCAAUAAGCGGAGGAAAAGAAACCAACAGGGAUUGCCUUAGUAGCGGCGAGUGAAGCGGCAAAAGCUCAAAUUUGAAAUCUGGCUCUUUCAGAGUCCGAGUUGUAAUUUGAAGAAGGUAUCUUUGGGUCUGGCUCUUGUCUAUGUUUCUUGAAACAGAACGUCACAGAGGGUGAGAAUCCCGUGCGAUGAGAUGAUCCAGGCCUAUGUAAAGUUCCUUCGAGAGUC
rnacentral:rRNA from 1 species